UACGGAGGGUGCGAGCGUUGUCCGGAAUUACUGGGCGUAAAGAGCUCGUAGGUGGUUUGUCGCGUUGUUCGUGAAAACUCACAGCUUAACUGUGGGCGUGCGGGCGAUACGGGCAGACUUGAGUACUGCAGGGGAGACUGGAAUUCCUGGUGUAGCGGUGGAAUGCGCAGAUAUCAGGAGGAACACCGGUGGCGAAGGCGGUUCUCUGGGCCUUACCUGACGCUGAGGAGCGAAAGCGUGGGGAGCGAACAGG
rnacentral:rRNA from 1 species